rnacentral:precursor_RNA from 15 species
AAAAGUGUUUGCGAAAACAUAAACAUUUGCAGGGCGGGUCGUGUGUCAGUGUAUUUAUAUCUUAGCUAUAUUGCACACUUCCCGGCCUUUAAAUGUCCAAUGUUUCAACAUUUAAAUCUG